ensembl:lncRNA
UUUCAUUCAACCGGCAGAUGACUCCAGAUGUUUCCUAAACAGAUGAAAGGCAGGGAAGCUCCUCGCCACCCUGCGUUAGACUCAACGAACGCUCGGAAGCCGGCCAGCUGGAAACACCCAAGCUUCCAUACUGUUUCCUUCUCAGUGGUCCCUCCCUGCUGAGGGCCCAUGGUUGCGAUUUAUAUCCCCAGGAAGCGUCCAGGCUUGUGGGGAGGACGAGGGGUCUGACACCACUGUCGUUCAAUAAAGCUUCGGGAUAAGAGAAGAUAAGUGAAGAGAGGAAAAGAAUAAAAUGAGAAAAAAGAAAAACAGUCUCUAAGAACACACUGCAAAUGUGCUUGUUUCAGUAUGUUUAUUAAUCUAGUUAGACUGGCCUGCUUUCUGGCAAUCUCAUCUAGGUGGACAAAUUAUUUCUCAUUCGGGGUUUUAGAUUGGCAGCGAGGAAUUAUUAAACUUUUCCAACAGACUUGUCUUUCACCACGGAUCCACUUCAUGGAAAUGUCAGGAUGUUAUUAAAUCUGCCGCUGCAGCUCUGCAGACCCUGUGGUCAAGACCUAGGCUUUACACAUGAAAAAAACAAAACAAAUAGCAGCUUAGCGAGGCUCCAGCCGCAGCUCGAGGUGUGUGAGCCACCCACGUUUUACCUCAUUGUAUCUGAAUAAUGCAACAUCAGUGGAAGCCACAAACCUCUCAAAAUGUCACUAGGAGUCAAAAGUGGGUGUGUCUUUCACCUGAAUGGGAACAAUUAUGGUGUUACCUCAGCUCAUACAAUGGGCCCAUUGUGAGGAGUAUAGCUCCACGGGCUGCUGGUGGAUCUGAGGCUUGGCAAGAUGAGAGUGGGAUGGGGUUGAGGUGCGGAGCGAGCCCACCGCUGAAUCGCUUGCUUUGUUUGCAGACAUAUCCUGGGAUUUUUUUUGAUCAUAUGGUUGGAAUGGAUGGGGGACUCAAAGCUGCUUAACUCUGCUUACAGUCUGGGCUGCGCACUGCGUCACACAGAUGGUGAAGAAGACGCAGCCUUUUGUGUCGUGGACUCAUUGAUUCAGUGAUCUGUUCCACACUCUGCGCUCUGCUCAUGCUUCCUUUGUGAAGGUGUCUGGUAGGGCAACAAAGUGAAC